rnacentral:rRNA from 1 species
UACGUAGGGGGCAAGCGUUGUCCGGAAUUAUUGGGCGUAAAGGGCGCGUAGGCGGAUAGUUAAGUCCGGUGUGAAAGAUCAGGGCUCAACCCUGAGAGUGCAUCGGAAACUGGUUAUCUUGAGGACAGGAGAGGAAAGUGGAAUUCCUAGUGUAGCGGUGAAAUGCGUAGAUAUUAGGAGGAACACCAGUGGCGAAGGCGACUUUCUGGACUGUAACUGACGCUGAGGCAUGAAAGCGUGGGGAGCAAACAGG